rnacentral:rRNA from 1 species
AUUGAACGCUGGCGGCAGGCCUAACACAUGCAGGUCGAACGGUAACAGGAAGCAGCUUGCUGCUUCGCUGACGAGUGGCGGACGGGUGAGUAAUGUCUGGGAAGCUGCCUGAUGGAGGGGGAUAACUACUGGAAACGGUAGCUAAUACCGCAUAAUGUCGCAAGACCAAAGAGGGGGACCUUCGGGCCUCUUGCCAUCGGAUGUGCCCAGAUGGGAUUAGCUUGUUGGUGGGGUAACGGCUCACCAAGGCGACGAUCCCUAGCUGGUCUGAGAGGAUGACCAGCCACACUGGAACUGAGACACGGUCCAGACUCCUACGGGAGGCAGCAGUGGGGAAUAUUGCACAAUGGGCGCAAGCCUGAUGCAGCCAUGCCGCGUGUAUGAAGAAGGCCUUCGGGUUGUAAAGUACUUUCAGCGGGGAGGAAGGGAGUAAAGUUAAUACCUUUGCUCAUUGACGUUACCCGCAGAAGAAGCACCGGCUAACUCCGUG